GGGGAGAACAGGCCACCUCCCGGUAGAGGACAGCACUCACUGCCCACUGCAGACAAGAUCAACUUCACCAAUGACAUGAUGAGCAGUGACUUGUUAAAGGGAGUCCAGAGUUCUCAGACAAAACCAUUUAUCUUCACUUGACCCCCAUGCUUCUCAGCCUGCACUGAUGAAGAAAGACAUGAG